GCGCCCGUAGCUCAGCUGGAUAGAGCGAUUGCCUCCGGAGCAAUAGGCCGGGUGUUCGAAUCACCCCGGGCGCACCA
rnacentral:tRNA from 1 species